CCAAUAGCGUAUAUUAAAGUUGUUGCAGUUAAAAAGCUCGUAGUUGAACCUUAGGCCCGUGCGGGUGGUCCGUCCUCUGGGCGAGCACUGCGUCGUCGCGGGUCUCACCUUCUGGCGAGCGUGGAUGCCAUUCACUUGGUGUCCGCGGGAACCAGGACCUUUACCUUGAAAAAAUUAGAGUGCUCAAAGCGGGCUCGUACGCUUGAAUACAUUAGCAUGG
rnacentral:rRNA from 1 species